GGAGUUGUGGCUCAGUGGUGGAGUGCUUGCUUUGCACACACGAGGUCCUGGGUUCAACACUCAGCACCA
rnacentral:tRNA from 1 species